AUUGAACGCUGGCGGCAGGUCUAACACAUGCAAGUCGAACGGUAACAGGAAGCAGCUUGCUGCUUCGCUGACGAGUGGCGGACGGGUGAGUAAUGUCUGGGAAACUGCCUGAUGGAGGGGGAUAACUACUGGAAACGGUAGCUAAUACCGCAUAACGUCGCAAGACCAAAGAGGGGGACCUUAGGGCCUCUUGCCAUCGGAUGUGCCCAGAUGGGAUUAGCUAGUAGGUGGGGUAACGGCUCACCUAGGCGACGAUCCCUAGCUGGUCUGAGAGGAUGACCAGCCACACUGGAACUGACACACGGUCCAGACUCCUACGGGAGGCAGCAGUGGGGAAUAUUGCACAAUGGGCGCAAGCCUGAUGCAGCCAUGCCGCGUGUAUGAAGAAGGCCUUCGGGUUGUAAAGUACUUUCAGCGGGGAGGAAGGGAGUAAAGUUAAUACCUUUGCUCAUUGACGUUACCCGCAGAAGAAGCACCGGCUAACUCCGUG
rnacentral:rRNA from 1 species